GACGUAGGGUGCAAGCGUUGUCCGGAUUUAUUGGGCGUAAAGAGCUCGUAGGCGGUUCGUUGCGUCAGCUGUGAAAACCCACGGCUUAACCGUGGGCCUGCAGCUGAUACGGGCGGACUAGAGUUCGGUAGGGGAGACUGGAAUUCCUGGUGUAGCGGUGAAAUGCGCAGAUAUCAGGAGGAACACCGGUGGCGAAGGCGGGUCUCUGGGCCGACACUGACACUGAGAGACGAAAGCUAGGGGAGCGAAUGGG
rnacentral:rRNA from 1 species